CAAAUACUCCCUCCGUCUGGAAAUACUUGUCAUCAAAAUGGAUAAAAGGAAAUGUAUCUAGACGUAUUUUAGUUUUAGAUACAUCUCUUUUUAUCCAUUUUGAUGACAAGUAUUUUCAGACGGAGGGAGUAUUUA
rnacentral:pre_miRNA from 1 species